GAUGAACGCUGGCGGCGUGCCUAAUACAUGCAAGUCGAGCGAACGGACGAGAAGCUUGCGGCUCUGAUGUUAGCGGCGGACGGGUGAGUAACACGUGGAUAACCUACCUAUAAUACUGGGAUAACUUCGGGAAACGGGAGCUAAUAGCGGGUGAUAUUUUGAACCGCAGGGGUCAAAAGAAAGAGACGGUGUUUGUGUCUCGUAUAGAGGGAUCCGGGCUGCAUUAGCUGGUUGUGAAGGUAACGGCUUACCAAGGCAACGAUGCAUAAGCGAGCUGAGAGGCUGGUCGGCCACCCGGGAGGUGGGCCGCGGUCCAGAGGCCUACGGGAGGCAGCAGUAGGGUAUCUUCGGCAAUGGGGGAAAGCAUUGCGGAACAACCGCACGUGAGUGAUGACAGUCUUCGGAUCGUAAAACUCUGUUAUUAGGGAAGAACAUCUGUGUAAGUAACUGUGCACAUCUUGACGGUACCUAGUCAGAAAGCCACGGCUAACUACGUG
rnacentral:rRNA from 1 species